rnacentral:rRNA from 1 species
AUUGAACGCUGGCGGCAGGCCUAACACAUGCAAGUCGAGCGGUAACAGGGGAAGCUUGCUUCUCGCUGACGAGCGGCGGACGGGUGAGUAAUGUAUGGGGAUCUGCCCGAUAGAGGGGGAUAACCACUGGAAACGGUGGCUAAUACCGCAUAAUCUCUUAGGAGCAAAGCAGGGGAACUUCGGUCCUUGCGCUAUCGGAUGAACCCAUAUGGGAUUAGCUAGUAGGUGGGGUAAUGGCUCACCUAGGCGACGAUCCCUAGCUGGUCUGAGAGGAUGAUCAGCCACACUGGGACUGA